rnacentral:rRNA from 1 species
UACAACAUAACGUUAAUGCACCAGAUCCCAUUAGAACUCUGCAGUUAAGCGCGUUCAAGCUAGAGUAGUACUAGGAUGGGUCACUAUUGAGAAGUCCUAGUGUUUUAC